AGCCACUGAUGAAACUCGAUUCUGCCAAAUGAAUUACUGUGAUAUUGCCAUUUCCGUUCCACUUUUUCUCUGAGGUU